rnacentral:lncRNA from 1 species
UUGAUUUUGAUAUCUUGAAAAUUCUCUUGCCCUCUUCUGUCUUCUAUGUUUUGAUUUUGCUACUGCAUCUUAUGUGACGACCUGACAUAUUCAGAAUUUAAAAACAGAACACCUCCCUAAAGGCAGAAUUUAAAAAUGCCAAGAAGGAAUUGAAUUUGCAUAUUCAGAGAACUAAACUUGCAGUUGUUGACCAAAAGCAACAUACAAAGAAGUAUAGUGCUAGCAUGCAUACAUAUGUACAAAAAGAUAACCACAAGAUCUACACCUAGUUGUACUACAAAUUGUUUAACUACAGUUAAAGCAGAACCCCAUCCUGAAAUCAGAAUCUAAAUUUCCAUGCAUAUACUGAAUUUGCAUAUUCAGAGAACUAAAUUUGCAGUUGUUGACCAAAAGUAACAUACAAUAAAGUAUAGUGCUAGCACGCAUACAUAUGUACAAAAAGAUAACCACAAUAUUUUGACAAUUUUCACCUAUUUGUACUACAAAAUGUUUAACUACAGUCAAGGCAGAACACCUACCUGCAGGCAUAAUCUGAAAAUUGCAUGCACAUACUGAAUUUGCACAAUCAGAAAACUAAACUUGCAGUUGUUGAUCAAAAGCAACAUAGAAAGAAGUGUAGUGCGAGCAUGCAUAGAUAUGUAUAAAAAUCACCUAGUUAUACUAGAAAAAUUGUUAAACUACAGUUAAGGCUGAACACCUCCCUGAAGCCAUAAUCUAUAAUAUCCAUGAACUGACUAAAUUUACAUAUUCAGAAAACUAAGCUUGCAGUUGUUGUUGAGUAGCAACAUAGAAGAACUAUACUAUGAGCAUGCAUACUACAGCAUCUUGACCUGCUUGUGCUAGAAAUUAUUUAACUACAAGUAAAAUCAGAACAACACUCUCAUGGCAGAAUUUUAAAUUUGCAUAUUCAGAGAACUUAACUUUCACUUGUUCUUCAACAGCAACACGCAAGAACUAUAAAUACGAGCAUGCAUACAUACUUACAGAAAUAUAACUAUCACAUCUAGGGCUAAAGAAGUUGUCAAAGUAAAAGUUUCUAGCACAUACUUGUUGAUAUGCAGUACAGCUCCCUAAAGAAGUUAUCUAUGUUGAAAUUAAAUGUGCAUAUUCAGAGAGAUAACCAUAACAAGAACAAGUCAACACAAAAAAACCCAAGAAAUAUAGAAAACAACUUCAAAAGAGAAAGGAUCGAUGUACUUGCAAAAAUCUACCUAAACCUAAUUAUUGCAUUCUCAUUACUGCAAGUAAUAAAAUGCACGAGCAUGACUAUGAGUACAACUAUAAUUACAGCAAAAGCCUAAUUCAUAAAUUCAAAGACUACAAUUAAAAAUUGCAUGUUCAUCAUAUUAAACUUGCACACAUUUUACAACAGCAAGAUUCAUAUUAGCCUUGUUGAUAUGCUGAUUUAGGUUUUAUUGGAAGCAGAUACUUUGAUAUGUACAAAAGAAUUCAAGCUAUAUGUAAUACAGAGUACCUCACUGUAUUCACGAUUAUAACUAUACUUGCAUAAUUGAUCUAUAUCAACUGGAUUUAGAUCAUGGAAAGACAAAUUAUAGUUCCAUCUAUAUAACUAAUUACAAAGACAAUCGCGACAUAGGAUGGGAAACAACACCUAAAAUACACAGGUUUCAUAUUAGCCAUGAAAAAAUGCAGUGGCUAAGUAAACACAUACACAUAGAUUGGUAUCUACAAAAUAAGUCAAACUAUAAAAGAAAUGAUUAAUACAACUCACCAUCCUCCUGAAGCAUUCCUCAUCAAGGACAACAUAAACAACUUCAGGUACUUCAUCAAAGUCGGAACGGUGGAGGACUCGAACCCAAGGCCAUUACGUUUUUCUAUAGAUGAAUGAAUUUUGGGAAGCCUAUCACCCUUCCUGAAGAUUAAAAUCGAAAUCAUAAACAUAAGUGUAGACACAAAUUUUGUUGCCGUAGCAACCACUCCUAUUACAGUAUCCAACUAUUAUAACUACGAAAAAACAUACUGCUAAUGAAUCUAGUUAUCUUAAUUGCUGAUGCACGAUAAAGAAGUUGCACAGAAUAAGUAUCAGCAACAACACCAACAUGCAGUAGCAAAACAUAUUAGAGUAUAAAAUCUUGCUGACAGACUCCACUGUUGCGUCAGCGGACAAUUGCAAUAGCCACUGUUUUGGUUGUCAUGGCUGCCAGCCAUUAGCAUUACGAUUAACUUCCACAUGAUGACACUAAUUAUAUCAAAAUUGCAUUUCUAGGAUACAGAGAUUCAAAAUCAGAAGGAACAACUACACUCGAUCAAAAAGAAUUCUAUACAAGGUAAGCAACAGUGGUAUAAAAAUAGUUGUAGAGGCAUAGGUACUUUGCAUGCCAUGGAAGCCGUUAUGCUAUCAUUGCAUCAAUUAGUACUAUGCUUUCAUGUCAUAUCAAGAUAUUAAAAAGAUAAUUGCAUAUGCAACCUACAGAAGUUGCACAACUUCAUUAUGAGCAACAACAACUUCAUGGUGG